UUGAUUUCUGAGGCCUGCUAUAUUUACUGAUGGUUGGUUUAGUUGGUUUUGAUUGUGAUUUGUGUUAAAAAAAUAAUAGUUCUGCAUAAAAAACAAAGUUUCUCCGCACAUAUCGGCAGCUCAGAUUUUCAAACCAAGCGAAUAGUUUAAUGGCUGAUUAUUGUUACCGAUGCGGCUUCUCCCGAUAUUCAACACCCAUUAUGAGCUUCUGUACCGAGAAAAUAAAGUGAAGUUUUUCGAUUUUUGUGUGUGCAAAAUAUGUGUAUUUCUAAUGCAAACAUUCGGCAAUAUUUAAAAGUGGC